GACGAACGCUGGCGGCGCGCUUAACACAUGCAAGUCGAACGGACACAUCCGACGGAAUAGCUUGCUAGGAAGAUGGAUGUUGUUAGUGGCGGACGGGUGAGUAACACGUGAGCAACCUACCUCAGAGUGGGGGACAACAGUUGGAAACGACUGCUAAUACCGCAUAAGAUGGCAGGGUCGCAUGGCCUGGUCAUAAAAGGAGCAAUUCGCUGUAAGAUGGCUUCGCGUCCGAUUAGACAGUUGGCGGGGUAACGGCCCACCAAAUCUACGAUCGGUAGCCGGACUGAGAGGUUGAACGGCCACAUUGGGACUGAGACACGGCCCAG
rnacentral:rRNA from 1 species